rnacentral:rRNA from 1 species
UACGUAGGGUGCGAGCGUUGUCCGGAAUUAUUGGGCGUAAAGGGCGCGUAGGCGGGAUGGCAAGUCGGUCGUGAAAUCCCUCGGCUCAACUGAGGAUCGUCGAUCGAUACUGCCGUUCUUGAGGAUUGCAGAGGAGACUGGAAUUCCCGGUGUAGCGGUGAAAUGUGUAGAGAUCGGGAGGAACACCGGUGGCGAAGGCGGGUCUCUGGGCAAUUCCUGACGCUGAGGCGCGAAAGCGUGGGGAGCAAACGGG